UAGGGAAUCUUCCGCAAUGGACGAAAGUCUGACGGAGCAACGCCGCGUGAGUGAUGAAGGUUUUCGGAUCGUAAAACUCUGUUGUUAGGGAAGAACAAGUACCGUUCUAACAGGACGGUGCCUUGACGGUACCUAACCAGAAAGCCCCGGCUAACUACGUGCCAGCAGCCGCGGUAAUACGUAGGGGGCAAGCGUUGUCCGGAAUUAUUGGGCGUAAGGCGCUCGCAGGCGGUCUUUUAAGUCUGAUGUGAAAGCCCACGGCUCAACCGUGGAGGGUCAUUGGAAACUGGAGGACUUGAGUACAGAAGAGGAGAGUGGAAUUCCACGUGUAGCGGUGAAAUGCGUAGAGAUGUGGAGGAACACCAGUGGCGAAGGCGACUCUCUGGUCUGUAACUGACGCUGAGGAGCGAAAGCGUGGGGAGCGAACAGGAUUAGAUACCCUGGUAGUCCACGCCGUAAACGAUGAGUGCUAGGUGUUAGGGGG
rnacentral:rRNA from 1 species